CAAGCGUUGUCCGGAUUUAUUGGGCGUAAAGAGCGUGUAGGCGGUCUGGUAGGUCCGUUGUGAAAACUCGAGGCUCAACCUCGAGACGCCGAUGGAAACCCUCAGACUAGAGUCCGGAAGAGGAGAGUGGAAUUCCUGGUGUAGCGGUGAAAUGCGCAGAUAUCAGGAAGAACGCCCGUGGCUAAGGCGGCUCUCUAGUACGUGACUGACGCUGAGACGCGAAAGCGUGGGGAGCGAACAGG
rnacentral:rRNA from 1 species